CGUAACGCGUAUGCAACCUACCCCUUACUGGGGCAUAGCCUUCCGAAAGGGAGAUUAACACCGCAUAACAUAGUGGCGUGGCAUCACGCUAUUAUUAAAUCUACGGAGGUAAGGGAUGGGCAUGCGUCCGAUUAGCUAGUUGGUGAGGGUAGUGGCCCACCAAGGCCACGAUCGGUCGGGGACCUGAGAGGGCGAUCCCCCACACUGGCACUGAGAUACGGGCCAG
rnacentral:rRNA from 1 species